rnacentral:rRNA from 1 species
ACGCACGCUGGCGGCGCGCCUAACCCAUGCCAGUCGAACGAGCGAGAGAGAGCUUGCUUUCUCAAGCGAGUGGCGAACGGGUGAGUAACGCGUGAGGAACCUGCCUCAAAGAGGGGGACAACAGUUGGAAACGACUGCUAAUACCGCAUAAGCCCACAGGUCGGCAUCGACCAGAGGGAAAAGGAGCAAUCCGCUUUGAGAUGGCCUCGCGUCCGAUUAGCUAGUUGGUGAGGUAACGGCCCACCAAGGCAACGAUCGGUAGCCGGACUGAGAGGUUGAACGGCCACAUUGGGACUGAGACACGGCCCAGACUCCUACGGGAGGCAGCAGUGGGGAAUAUUGCACAAUGGGGGAAACCCUGAUGCAGCGACGCCGGGUGGAGGAAGAAGGUCUUCGGAUUGUAAACUCCUGUUGUUGAGGAAGAUAAUGACGGUACUCAACAAGGAAGUGACGGCUAACUACGUG